UGGUAAGUAUCGCAGGCGGGGAUCAACAGAGGGUUACUUAUAGUCAUUUUGGUUGUUGGUUGUUAAGUUCACUAUUUAGCAGAAUGUUACUUAGGUAGGUAUUUUCGUUGGUGGCGGUCAAUCGAGUUUUUUGUUUUUUUAUAAUAAUUAUUUUUUUAUUUAUAACUUUUUAGUUGUUUUUAUUUAACGAAAAUGUUGUAGAUUAUUAUGUAAGUACCAUUUGAAAGAGGCCACAAAGAAACAGACAUACAUACAUACAUACAUACUUACUUACACUCGAAAAACAUUACCCUCCUCCUUUGGCAGUCGGG